UACGGAGGGAGCUAGCGUUGUUCGGAAUUACUGGGCGUAAAGCGCGUGUAGGCGGUCUGAAUAGUCUGCUGUGAAAGCGCCUGGCUUAACCGGGCGAGGUCGGCGGAAACUCUCAGACUGGAGGCCGGUAGAGGGGGGUGGAAUUCCCGGUGUAGUGGUGAAAUGCGUAGAGAUCGGGAGGAACACCUGUGGCGAAGGCGGCCCCCUGGGCCGCGCCUGACGCUGAGACGCGAAGGCUAGGGGAGCGAACGGG
rnacentral:rRNA from 1 species